rnacentral:lncRNA from 1 species
ACUGUUGGAAGAAACCUUGCGGCCAUGGAACAUGCGCAAAUCAUCGUAGAACCUUCAUAUGUACCUGUAACAAAGGAUAUACAGGACAAUACUGUAAACAAGGUAUGUAAAGUCAUCAAUGAAUAUUAAGUUUCAGGUCAAUUAGUAACUUUAUCAUUUUAUGAAAAAAGUUAAGUUAUUUUUGAUUCUCUUCACUUUUUUGUUUUCUUCGGCGGGUAACAGAAUAAGUAUACACCUUAAUGCGUGAACAAAAAUGGAUAUAAGGUUUAAUAUUGUAAGCAGUAUUUUUACUUUUUAACCAAUAUUAUAAUAAAAUAAAUAAAGCAAUUGAACAAUAUAACAUUGCAAAUAUUUCUUAAAAUGUAAUUCAUGUAAAUGAUAUUUAGUUUGUUAAUGUUUCAUAGCAAUACUAAAUUUACAAUUUCUCUAUUUCUUUUAGUGAUUGACCGUAAGUAAAACAUUGAUAAUACCAUUUCAAAUAUUCACAUAAAAUAAAAAGCCAGUAUGCCGGUAUGUCCAGAGAAACAAGAUUAAACAUACUUGCACUAGAUGAAUCAAAGGAGAAUAAGUAAUUUAUACAGUUUGAAACAUAUUUGUUUUGCAUAAAUUAACAACACUUGAAUGCACGAAGACGCAACCAAAGCCUGAUUGUGGACGUUAACAAUAACAGUAAUUUGAGACUGAAAUCAUCGCCAUACACUGGGGUUUUAAAGUUUGCGUUCAUUAGCAGGACUGUUUAGGUCAGUUAUCGGUAAUUCAUAACGGCACUGUUUUAUGUGUGUGCUCAUCGGGGCACCAUUUUGUAUAUGAACAUUUGGUCCUUUUCAAUUAACUAUAGAUUUUGGCAUUUUCAUUCUGUCCUAUCCUUUCACAAAUUUUACCGUUCUUAUUUUUUAUAUUAAUUUCUUUCCUAUGAGUUUUUAGUUUUACGCAUACAUUUGAUUGAUAUUAAAAUAACAUAUUUCUUUAUAUAACGGAAAGACUAAAUUGCAAUAUUCAGUUGCACGAUAUAAGAGCUUUCUAACGGUUUACAUUAUAUUAUCUCUUAUGAGACGGUGUGAUACAAAAGAGAUAAAAUAUAUCAAAGGUACAUUAACGAUCCAAUAAAAAAAAAACUUUGCCCACAAGAAAAAGCCACGAUAACUAAAAACAAAUUUAGAAAACCUUAAAAACAGAACUGGAACAAAAACACAAGUGAUCCGGUAUGGGCAAUAAACGCGGUUAUAUGUGUGUUAUUAUUUGUGAUACUUUACAGAGUAUGUAUAAAUCAUAUCAGUUAUUCAAUAAAUAAUUAAAUAACAGUUGGUAAUUUAAAAUAUUUCUACAUUAUUCUAAAUUAGAAACUGUUAUGUCCUUUAUUUCAAUAAGAUUACUUAUCCUAACGAUCAUGUUCAGAUUUCAGACAACUUUCGUCUUUUAAUGGUGGACUUUAAUCCCAUUUUCUUUUUUAACCUGUUUUUUUAUGUUGACUGCUGUACCCUAUUUUUGACAUUGUUAUAUAUUGUGGCAGUUUGUUUUGUUCACACAUCGUUGUCAAUAUAAUAAAACUGUCAGAGGUUUAGCUAGCUUUAAAACCAGGUUUAAUCCACAAUUUAUCCACAAGAAAAAUGCUUGCACCACGUCAGGAAUAUGACAGUUGUUUUCCAUUCGUUUGAUGUUUUUAAAGAUUUUGAUUUUGCCAUUUGGUAAGUGACUUUCCGUUUUGAAUUUUCCACAGAUAUCAACACUUUUGGGGUUUUACUUCUUACACACAGUAUUAUGUAACACAACUUUAUGUCAUACACUUGUGAUAAGUUGUCUGCGAUUGUGUUGGUUUUUUUUAAAUAGGGGAAACAAUGCACAUGCACUUAGUUUUUUUUAAUGUUUCGUUGCAUUAAUUACCUAUAAGAACUAUCACUGUCAAUAACGAUUUUUUUUUCUAGACGAAGUGCGUAUGUGUCGUUCACCAUUUUGACUCCCGGUAUCUACAUAUAUUAUCCUAUACUGGAAAUGCAUGUUUCGUGUUUUUGUCAUUUUGGGAAAUGAGUAUAAAUUCUGGAAUCAUUUUUCUUGUCUGUGUUUGCUUUUACUUUUAGUCAAUUUGGUAGUAUCAGCUCUUCCAUUGUUGUUUCUUUUGUGUUUUUUGUCCAAUAAUUCAGUAGCGUUGACUGAAAAAUCUGAUGUUAAGUGGUUGUCGUCUGUUUAUGUGGUUCAUAAGUGUUUCUCGAUUCUCGUUUUUAUAUAGGUUAGACGUUUCACUGGUUUUGCACUAGUAGUUUGUGGGGACCUUUAUAGCUUGCUGUUCGGUGUGAGCUUAGGUUCCGUGUUGAAGGUCUUGACCUAUAAUGGUUUUUUUUUUAUAAAUUGUUACUUGGAUGGAGAGUUAUUUCAUUGGCACUCAUACCACAUUUUCCUAUAUCUAUUGACUGCAAAUUAAAUGCUGAACUACGCGUUAAAUUGGUAAAAAUGAUAUAGUCAAAGUUAAAAUAAACUUGACCUUACUAAUAAAAAAACUAACUAAAGAGAUGUGUAAUUACUUAUUUAAAAAGCUAGUUAUACUUUGUUGGGAGUAUUUUCGGAAUUUUAGUUCAUCAUGAUAAAAUUGUUAUUUUAUGAUGUAACGGUCAAUGCAUGAUUUUAUGGACAUAUGAAUGAAUAUAGAUAUUGACAUCUGAAAGCGUCCACUGUCGAUAUAUAGUCUCCGGGUCGACAUCGACGUAAAGACAUCAUCAAGCGACUACCAUUGAAUAGAAUAAUCAUGUAUUGAACUUUGAUACAAUGUUUGGUAUGUAUUUCAAUGUGCUUUAUUUCAGAUUGCAAGUCCAAUCUCUGUAUACACGGGAAAUGUAUAAACCAUCCAGCUGCCGGCUCAUACACAUGUCAUUGUUUUAGUGGAUUUGGAGGCAAAUUUUGUGAUACAC